ACGAUUGGAUCAAAAUUGUCGAUCGUGAUAUAUAGACUAUCGACUAUCUCCGGACUCCUCAGUAAGAUAUCAAUCUGGACCCAGCCGGCUUUUUAUUGCAUACUAUUUACGGAGACACCGGAGUGUUACGAUUGGUAAGAUAUGUGAGAGCAAGGAACGGCAACUCUGCGUAGAGAUUGAAAAGUUAAAAGCCAAAUAGUUGAGACGGAUAUUGAUCUUUUCUUCAUCACAGAUGAUUCUAAUCCUGGACCCAGUUCUUGUGUUCAAAGUUUCGAAUGUCGUCCUGUCAAAGGUAUAUCGGUGCUUAGGUUCAAGGAUCGCGGAAAAGGGUGGGGUUAUAGGCUAGACAAAAAAGAUGCAAUCGCCUUCAAAGUUGACAAAGAUAUCGUUCUUACACAUAUUUAUAUCUAUGGUAACUGCAAGGAGGAUGGAAAGCUGGAGGUGUCCGUAAGUUUGGUUAAAGAAAUUCAACAUGAGCCGCUGUCAAUGUCGAAAGUGCAGCUGCUAUGUGAAGUGACUCAUUCCACUGGAUGGUAUGAAGUAGAGGUUGAAAACGGUGAGGGUUCAUAUGGAAUAAAAAUCAACGCAGGGGUUGUAUACCACAUUGUUGUAGAGAUCAAGGGUAAGAAUUCGUACUAUGGAAGACAUGGUUAUACAGACGUGAUUUCAGAUGGGACGACAUUUAUUUUCAGUACAAGUUAUUUAUCGACAAAUAACACAAAUGUGGACAUGGGGCAAAUCGCUGGAUUAAGAUAUUGCACCAUUCCUGAUGAGUGACUCAUGAGGGACAAUAAACUUAUUACUAGCAAGUCUAUCCGUACCAUCAGCUCAUUUAAUGAAUAUAUAUUAAUUUUGGAAGUGAAAAAAAACAAAAAACACACAUGUGUUAUAUGUCAAUAUAUAGUUAUCUGUGUAUUCUGUGGGAUAGCAGCAAGUCUUGACAAACUAAAAAAAAUUUUCGGUUGGAUUACCUAAAUCUGCAAGUAAAGCAGUGAAAGACAAAAUUCAAAGUAAACAAAUACAAUAUAUAUUUGGCAAUUCAAUAAAGCAAACAACAUGUCAUGUUCAUUACCUGGUGCAUUUGUAAUAAGAUUAUGCAGUCCCCUUCAGACUUUGACUGUUGAGUAAUUUUAUUAAGUAUUUGAGCGUAUUUCAUUUCAAAUUAUCCAGAUUUCAUUUAAAAUUGUGUACAUGUAUCAGUACAAUUUAAUAUGUUUGUUGGUAUAGUAAAACACAACGUGAAGCCAUUUGAUUAUGAUAAUUUGUUAAGAGUUUAUAGGUGCUUUUAUUUAUUUGUAUAGCAAGAUUUGCAAUUUCAUAAAUUGACAGAAUACUGCUGUACUUUUUUAUGGAGUUGAUACUGAAUUACUAGUGUACUAAACAUGUUAUAUUUCAGGCUUUUUCCGCCCAAUGCCACGGGUCCGAAAUUCGGCCCCAUUCCCAAUGCAAAUCUGGUUGUUUUUUUCCCAACUGAAAAAAAAUUCCCAAUUCCAAAUUUUUUUUUAUUUUUUUUUUAACCUUAAAAUAUAUAAGUUAACCUGAUCCGGUGUACAAAAUAGAAAGUAUUGCAUAAUUAAAUUAUUUGUUGCCUUGAAUUUGUUUUAAAAACUGUAAAAUAUGUUAAUGAUUAUUUAAGACUUUCCUUAUUUUCCUCAAAAUCCGGCGCUUCGCGCGAUUUUUUUCACCUCAAAAAAGGUCAGGCCUUUUCCCCAAAUUCAGAUUAAACAAGAUGCGUUUGUGAAACACAAUGUCCCCCUAUAUGACGUUUGACCUUAAAGGAUGACCUUGACCUUGACCCUUCACCACUCAAAAUGUGCAGCUCCAUGAGAUACACAUGCAUUUCAAAUAUAAAAUUGCUAGCUUCGAUAUUGCAGAAGUGACAUUACAUGAGCCAUUUUGACCCAUAUAUUUGACCUUGAAGGAUGACCUUGACCUUGACCUUUCACCACUCAAAUUGUGCAGCUCCAUGAGAUACACAUGCAUGCCAAAUAUCAAGUUGCUUUCUUCAAUAUUUCAAAAGUAUUAAUAAAAUAAGCGAUUUGGGCCACAUAUAUUUGACCUCUGACCUUGAAUGAUGACCUUGACCUUGACCUUUCACCACUCAAAAUGUGCAGCUUCAUGAGAUACACAUGCAUGCCAAAUAUCGAGUUGCUAUCUUCAAUAUUGCAAAAGUAUUCAUAAAAUGAGCGAUUUUGGCCACAUAUAUUUGACCUCUGACCUUGAAUGAUGACCUUGACCUUGACCUUUCACCACUCAAAAUGUGCAACUCUAUGAGAUACACAUGCAUGCCAAAUAUCAAGUUGCUAUAUUCAAUAUAGCAAAAGUUAUUGCAAAAUGUUAAAGUUGGUGCAAACCAACCAACCAACCAACAGACCAACCAACAGACAGGGCAAAAACAAUAUGUCCCCCACUACUAUAGUGGGGGACAUAAAAACCUGCACUUAUUACACAUGUUCAUAAUAUUUUGUAAAAUUUUAAUAAUAAGUUAUCAAAAUAGUCGUUAUUUACCAGUUAACGGCUUCUUUGAAAUAUAAGAAACACUAUUUACAUGCGAUAAUUUUUCCCAAUUGAGCCAAUUUUGCGAUUAUUUUUUUCCCAAAAUGGGGGUUUUCACGACACGAAAUUCCCCUUAAUUCCAGUGUGGCGUUUUCCCAAAAUUGAGCGGAAAAAGCCUGUAUUUGUAUGCUCAUUAUAUUGUAAUGUUAUUAUACGUGUAGCGUUCAUUAAGAUAUACUAAAUAAAUCCAUAUGGGCAUGAUAUUGGAAACUAAAGACAAUUUUAUAUACCACAACAAACAUCGUUGGGUGUAUAUUGUUAUUUGUAAUGAAACCACUGCUUUAUUUACAUGUCUAACCAGAUUUGAUAUGCAUCUAAUCAAUAUCGGUAACAACAUGGACACAAAAACCAUAAAUACACAUUUAUGUUAA